rnacentral:rRNA from 1 species
GACGAACGCUGGCGGCGUGCUUAACACAUGCAAGUCGAACGGAAAGGCCCCUUUGGGGGUACUCGAGUGGCGAACGGGUGAGUAACACGUGAGUAACCUGCCCUUGACUUCGGGAUAACUUCAGGAAACUGGGGCUAAUACCGGAUAGGAAUCCUUGCUGCAUGGUGGGGGUUGGAAAGCUUCGGCGGUUUUGGAUGGACUCGCGGCUUAUCAGCUUGGUGGUGGGGUAGUGGCUUACCAAGGCUUUGACGGGUAGCCGGCCUGAGAGGGCGACCGGCCACAGUGGGACUGAGAUACGGCCCAGACUCCUACGGGAGGCAGCAGUGGGGAAUAUUGCACAAUGGGCGGAAGCCUGAUGCAGCAACGCCGCGUGCGGGAUGACGGCCUUCGGGUUGUAAACCGCUUUCAGCAGGGGCGAAGCUUGUGGUGACGGUACCUGCAGAAGAAGCACCGGCUAACUACGUG